rnacentral:rRNA from 1 species
UACGAAGGGGGCUAGCGUUGCUCGGAAUUACUGGGCGUAAAGGGCGCGUAGGCGGAUAUUUAAGUUGGGGGUGAAAUCCCCGGGCUCAACCUGGGAACUGCAUCUGUGACUGCAUCGCUGGAGUGCGGCAGAGGGGGAUGGAAUUCCGCGUGUAGCAGUGAAAUGCGUAGAUAUGCGGAGGAACACCGAUGGCGAAGGCAAUCCCCUGGGCCUGCACUGACGCUCAUGCACGAAAGCGUGGGGAGCAAACAGG